GACGAACGCUGGCGGCGUGCUUAACACAUGCAAGUCGAACGGAACGGCCCUGCUUUUGUGGGGUGCUCGAGUUGCGAACGGGUGAGUAACACGUGAGUACCCUGCCCCUGACUGUGGGGGAACUUCAGGAAACUUGGGCUAAUACCAGAUAGGAGCUCCUGCUUCAUGGUGGGGGUUGGAAAGUUUCGGCGGUUGGGCAUGGACUCGCGGCCUAUCAGCUUGUUGGUGGGGUAGUGGGUUACCAAGGUCUUGACGGGUAGCAGGCCUGAGAGGGUCAGCGGAUAAGUUGGGACUGGGAUGCGGCCCAGACUCGUACGGGACGCAGCGGAGCGGAAGAGAACACAAGGGGCGGAGGCAUGGUGCGGCAAAGCCGCGUGGGGGAUGAGGGCAUGCGGGUUGGAAUCCACUUUCGCCUGUGACGAGACGAGAGUGACGGUAACGGGUGAAGAAGCACCGGCUAACUACGUG
rnacentral:rRNA from 1 species